UUGGCACCAAAAUUCCAAAAUUGGAUUCUUUAGACAGCUCUCGGGUAGCCUGCAGCAGGACUUGUACCGGAACAAGACUGGCCUUGUACCGGUACAAGGGUUGAUGGUUGUACCGGUACAGCCAUCGGGCUUGUACCGGUACAGAGCCGCAGACCGCGCGACCCGAGCCUCGGGUUUGCAAUUUCGUCGGCCUUGUACCGGUACAAGAGCCCGUGUACCGGUACAAGGAGGCAGAUUUCGUGCAGUUUGAACUGCAGGGGGUUUUUCGCGAUUGUAGCCUACCUAUUAGUAACCCCACGCCCCUUAGGGCUUCCCUGAGCUUCACAGCAGCAGGAGAAGAGGUAGGGGAGUUCUCCACACCCUCCCUCUCUAUUUCUUUGAUUUUGGUU
rnacentral:lncRNA from 1 species